UGUAAGUAUUUAAAUCUGCUUCAGUCGCAGGAAACAAUCGCUGUGUGUUGAGCACACUUUUUAGAUGGAUGCUGAGGCUUUUUAGGUCGGGUAGAAUCUGCGAUCUAUGAACGAGUUUGUUCGCUGGCUUCCAUUGUUGCAAUUCGCUGCAUGUGUUUUCCGCCAACUGGCAACCCAGGGUGGCAAAAUACUAUUGGGUAAUUUAGCAACGUGUGGUCUUGCACAGACAGAAACAAAAACAGAAAUUCUGACACGGAACACACAUUUCUAAGUAAAAUAACUGGCUGUAGCAAUGGUUUUCAGAGAAACGAGCAUGUGAGCUGAUCAUGUUUAAUAAAUAUCUACAAACAUAUGGUAUUUUUCUGCUUUAGUACAGUCAAAAACUUACAUAGAGCCCCUUUAAAUCAAACAAUAUUUUGAAUUUGGACUGCAGUACCCAUUUCAACCACUAGCUGUCAUUCUUACAUAGAGCACCUUUAAAAAUAUUUUAAUAUUCAAAACUGUUACCCAAUCAUAGCAGUGGCCAUUUAAUUCCAAGUCUGCAAUGUCUGCAAAGUCUGGGAGUGUUUGAAAGACAAGGCUAUAAACAGGAUAGAAAAAAAUGCAGUUCAUAACCCCCCUAAAUAUUUGCGGCCCCUUUAAGAAGAAUGACCGCGCGUACUGAGGAUGCGCAGAAGAUAGAGUGGCUGAAUGGAGCAGCGCAUUCAAUAGAGGCUGUAGCUCUGUCGGAAGAAAGAAAAUAGAUAUUCUGUUGCUACUUACCUGAGCGAUCAUAACCGAAACCAAAGCAACUGUCUUUAUAUUAUAUAUGGUGAUUUUGUCAGGCAGGGUCUCUAUUAUAAAUCAGGAUUUUAUUGCAAAGCAGCUUGGAAGUGACUACAUGAAUGGGUCGCGUUUCUGUCACUUAUUUCAUAUUCGUCCCGCUGUCUGACAACCGAAACAGAAAAAUAAAGAGAUGAUGAAAACAAGUUAAUCUGGAAGGGGCGCGACGUAAUGUCGUCAUUGAUGUGCUAAUUAGCAUGACAUUAUCUUAGCGACAUUUUGAAUGUGCUUUAGCUGCUUUUCAUUGAAAAUAGUAGGCAACAGUGACUAAAACAGAAGAGAGAAAUGAGACGAGCGCUUAAACUUUUUUCCAAAUGAAGCUGAAAGCGCUGUUAAUGAUCGCGAAUGAAGGACAAAUGUGGAAUAUUUUCGUCUGAUGCGGUAUAUUUAUUUCCAGUGUAACGUACAGAUCUGGUGUCUCUCCCACAACAAUUCACCAAUAAAUAAUGUGAAUAUUCACAUCAUCCUACAAGAGAAGGACAAACUCCAGGAGUAGCAGCUGAAAUCUGUGUGACUGUUAAAGAUGGACUUUAUUAAAGAGGAGAUUGAAGACAUGAGUGAUCCAGAACCAUCCAGAAUAAAACAUGAAGAAACUGAGGAACAAAUAGAUCAGACGGAAGUGAAGGAGCAAAGAAAAGAACUGGAGGAAAUUAAGGAGGAACAUCAUAACUUAAGAAUUCAAGAAACAAAAGCCAAAAAGCUGCACACCUGCACUCAGUGUGGAAAGAGUUUCACACUAAAAGGAAAUCUUAAUAGACACAUGAGAGUUCACACUGGAGAGAAACCGUAUACAUGCACUCGGUGUGAAAGGAGUUUUUCUCAAGCAUCAAGUCUGAAUAAACAUCUGCUCCAUCACUCUGGAGAAAAACGAUUCAACUGUGAUCAAUGCGGUAAAGAUUUUAUUUCGUCAUCAGAUCUAAAACGCCACCUGAAAGUUCAUUUAGAUGAGAAGCCUUAUGUGUGUUCUUUCUGUGGAAAGAGUUUUUCAUGGCUGAGCAGUUUAAAACAGCACCAGAAAACACAUAAUGAAGUGAAAGAUCAUGUGUGUUGUGACUGUGGGAAGAGCUUUACUACAUCUGGUGAACUGAAACGACACCAAAGAAUUCAUACUGGAGAAAAACCUUACAAGUGCUCAUAUUGUGACAAGAGUUUCACUCGGUUGGGAUCACUAAAAUCACAUGAGCGACUUCAUACUGGAGUGAGGCCGUACCACUGUAUUACGUGUGGAGAGAGUUUUAGAUAUUCAAAAAGCUUUCUCAGGCACAUGAAGAAAUAUCAUACAUCGUCACAGUGAGCAACAUUUCAUUUUUUAAGUUAAAUACAGUAAAGUAAAUGAUGUGAGAUUAACAAAAUCAAUGAUUUGGUCCCAAAAGCUUAUUUUAUACAAACCCUUUUGUUCAUAUACAUCUAAUUUGAUGUUAUCAUCUUCAGUCUGGUACAGAUGAUUGAAGUGUGUCCUCACUUUUUUCCUCCCUCUUUACUUUUUUCCCCAAUUUCUUUUAUGCUUUUUCCUUUGUUACUUCCCCUCCUAACCCCUAGACGGGUAGAGGGACGGGUAAAUUAAUGCCAUGUGAGGCCAAGUUUAGUUAUAAAGUUAUAAGUUCAUCUAUUUAUUAAAAAUUAAUAUUUCUAGAAUUACAUAUUCUACAAACACUCUAUAUAAGUAAUUAUAUAAAGUAUAAAUAUCAAAUUCUUCAGUCAAGGCAAUAUCAGCAAUGGAGGCAACGUCAGCGCUGGUUAUGGUGACCUUCUACAGAUGCAAAGCAGCCUCUGCUGUUCUCUUUAUCUUCCAGCCUUUAAUUGACAAUCUGAACUCUUGAAGUCAUCUUCUUUGGAAUUCCACUCCUAUGAGUUCCAUGAAUCUUCUCAGGAUUCGUCUGUUGCUUCUGGAUUCUUCUCCUUUUCUAUGUCCUGCGCCUCAUCUUCAAGACAUUCAACGAUCUGGUCCUGUGAGUGUCAGUAUCACACAGUGAUCACAGUUCACACCUGCAGUGAAGCUCCUCCCACAACAAUUCACCAAUAAAUACUGGGAAUAUUCACAUCAUCCUACAAGAGAAGGACAAACUCCAGGUGUAGCAGCUGAAAUCUGUGACUGUUAAAGAUGGAGUUCAUUAAAGAGGAGAUUGAAGACAUGAGUGAUCCAGAACCAUCCAGAAUAAAACAUGAAGAUACUGAGGAACAAAUAGAUCAGAUGGAAAUGAAAGAGCAAAGAAAAGAAGUGGUGGAAAUUAAGGAGGAACAUCAGAACUUAAGAAUUCAAGGAACAAAAGCCAAAAAGCUGCACACCUGCUCUCAGUGUGGAAAGAGUUUCACACUAAAAGGAAACCUUAACGUACACAUGAGAAUUCACACUGGAGAGAAGCCAUUUAACUGUGAUCAGUGUGGUAAAGAUUUUAAUUUAUCAUCAACUCUAAAACAACACCUGAAAGUUCAUUCAGAUGAGAGGCCUUAUGUGUGUUCUCUCUGUGGAAAGAGUUUUUCACGGCUGGAACAUUGUAAAUUGCACCAGAAAACACAUGAUGGAGUGAAAGAUCAUGUGUGUUCUGACUGUGGGAAGAGCUUUACUACAGCUGAGAAUAUGAAGCAACAUCAAAGAAUUCAUACUGGAGAAAAACCUUACAAGUGCUCAUAUUGUGACAAGAGUUUCAUUCAGUCUCCACACCUGAAAUCACAUGAGCGAGUUCAUACUGGAGAGAAGCCUUACCAUUGUACUCAGUGUGAGAAGAGUUUCAAAGAUGCAACAGGUUUAAAAUAUCAUCUGCGCAUUCACUCUGGAGAAAAGCUUUUUAUCUGUGAUCAGUGUGGUAAAGAUUUUAAUUCAUCAGCACAUCUAAAAGAACACCUGAGAAUUCAUUCAGAUGAGAGGUCUUAUGUGUGUCCUUUCUGUGGAAAGAGUUUUUCACGGCUGAACAGUUUUAAACGGCACCAGAAAACACAUAAAGAAGUGAGAGAUCAUGUGUGUUGUGACUGUGGGAAGAGCUUUACUACAGCUGAGUCUCUGAAACGGCACCAAAGAAUUCAUACUGGAGUAAAACCUUACAAGUGCUCAUACUGUGAGAAGAGUUACACUGACUCAGGAUCCCUGAAAUCACAUGAGCGAGUUCAUACUGGAGAGAAGCCGUACCACUGUACUCAGUGUGGAGAGAGUUUUAGACAUUCAAUAAGCCUUGUCAGACACAUGAAGAAAUAUCAUAAGUUGUCGCAGUGAGCAUCAUGAUUGGAUCGUUAUUGCAGUGAUUAUCUGCUAAAUGACUAAAUGUAAAUAGGCAAAUGCUUAAGAGUAUAUGAUUGGAUAUGAUUAUGAUUAUGAUUAUUAUGUUUCUAGCAUGUUGUUUGUUUGGCAACAGUUCUUCUAAGCCUAAUUGAUGGUGUAGCUUUUCAUUUCUUAAACAACCAUGUAGGAAGACAAAUCAUGGCUAUAUUCCAGGAUUCCUCAGGCUCAAAUUGUGAAAGAAUGGUUGGGAGGGAGCUUUGAGAAUCAUUUCCACUUUUGAAUUGGCACCUCUGAGUCCAGACCUUAAAUCCCAAAGACUUCCAGGCCUGGAAUGGAAGUCUUUGGGAUGUGCUGGACUAGACUUUACAGAGUGCUGGACUCUUGCAUUGUAAAUACAAGUUCUUGACCAAAAAUUAGCCCCGUUUCCACCGCAGGAACUUUACCCAGGAACUAGGGACUUUGGGCUGGUACUCGGUGUGUUUCCACUGCAGGAACCAGGAACUAAAUAAAGUUCCGGGUAAAAUUUCCCCCUCAGAAAAGUCCCUGAUAGCGAGGUGGUACUUUUUCAAAGUUCAGGAACUUUCGGGGGUGGGACUAGGCGCUGAACAUGCUGAUUGGUCGGAUUCACGCCGCAUUUGAUUGGUCGACUCCACGCAGCAAUAAGUCGGUUAUGCAAGCUUGGGAUUGUGCACACUGGAAAACAAUGCCGAGAGAAGUUGAAAAAACUAAAGCAAGAUUACAAGAAAAUAAAGGAUCACAACAAUAGAAGUGGUUCCGAUCGGCGUACUAACAAGUGGUUUGACCGCCUGGAUGCGUUGCUAGGACACAGACCGUCCUUUUCUGGUUCAGCGGUGACAAAAGACUUUGCUACUGCAUUGUUGGAAGCCAUGCCGGAAUCCGAUGAACAGUGGGUUGAAGAUCUGGUCCUGUGAGUGUCAGUAUCACACAGUGAUCACAGUUCACACCUGCAGUGAAGCUCAUCCCACAACAAUUCACCAAUAAAUACUGGGAAAAUUCACAUCAUCCUACAAGAGAAGGACAAACUCCAGGUGUAGCAGCUGAAAUCUGUGUGACUGUUAAAGAUGGAGUUUAUUAAAGAGGAGAUUGAAGACAUGAGUAUUUUAGAACCAUCCAGAGUAAAACAUGAAGAAACUGAGGAACAAAUAGAUCAGAUGGAAAUGAAAGAGCAAAGAAAAGAACUGGAGGAAAUUAAGGAGGAACAUCAAAACUUUAAAACUACAGGAACAAAAGCCAAAAAGCUGCACACCUGCACUCAGUGUGGAAAGAGUUUCAGACAAAAAGGAACCCUGAAUGUACAUGUGAGAAUUCACACUGGAGAGAAACCAUUUAACUGUGAUCAGUGUGGUAGAAAGUUCAUUGCAUCAUCACAUUUAAAAAAACACCUGAGUGUUCAUUCAGAUGAGAAGGCUCAUUCGUGUUCUUUGUGUGGAAAGAGUUUUUCAAGGCUCGAUCAAUGUAAACAGCACCAGAAAACACAUGAUGGAGUGAAAGAUCAUGUGUGUUUGGACUGUGGGAAGAGCUUUACUACAGCUGACAAUAUGAAGCAACAUCAAAGAAUUCAUACUGGAGAAAAACCUUACAAGUGCUCAUAUUGUGACAAGAGUUUCACUCAGUCUGGACACCUGAAAUCACAUGAGCGAGUUCAUACUGGAGAGAAGCCGUACCACUGUGCUCAGUGUGAGAAGAGUUUCAAAGAUGCAUCAGGUUUAAAAUGUCAUCUGCGCAUUCACUCUGGAGAAAAGCUUUUCAACUGUGAUCAGUGUGGUAAAGAUUUUAAUUCAUCAGCAAAUCUAAAACAACACUUGAAAAUACAUUCAGAUGAGAAGCCUUAUGUGUGUUCUCUCUGUGGAAAGAGUUUUUCACGGGUGACCAGUCUUAAACUGCACCAGAAAACACAUGAUGGAGUGAAAGAUCAUAUGUGUUUGGACUGUGGGAAGAGCUUUUCUACAGCUGAGGCUCUGAAACUGCAUCAAAGAAUUCAUACUGGAGAAAGACCUUACAAGUGCUCAUAUUGUGACAAGAGUUUUACUCGAUCUGGACAUCUGAAAUCACACAAGCAAGCGAAGCCAAACUGCUUUACUCAGUGUGAGAAGAGUUUUAAACAUUCAAAAAGCCUUCCCAGGAACAUGAAGAAAUAUCAUAAGUUGUCACAGUGAGAUACAUUUAAUUUCCCUGUCAACUACAGUAAAGUAAAUGUUGUGAGAUGAACUGAAUAUAGAGUUGCUCUCAAAAGCACAAUAUCAUCUAUGCCAUUCUUCUUCUGAUGUAACGAGUACAUCUGAUGUUAUGAAGUGUAUGCCAGGUUAAAGAGAUGUGUUUUUAGUCUAGAUUUAAACGGACAGAGUGUGCCUGCUUCCCGGCAAUGCUAGGAAGAUUGUUCCAGAGUUUAGGUGCCAAAUUGGAGAAGGAUCUACCUCCUGCGGUUGAUUUUGAUAUUCUAGGUAUUGUCAGCUGGCCUGAAUUCUGAGAUUGCAAUAGACGUGAAGGACUGUAAUGCAUUAAGAGCUUGCUCAGGUAAUGGGGAGCUAAACCAUUUAGUGCUUUGUAAUUAAUUAGCAAGAUUUUAAAAUCUAUACAAUAUAUUUAACAGGGAGCCAAUGAGGGUCCAACAUAUGCACAUAAUCUUCAGGAAUUUUGACACUUUUCUGUUCUUGCUCUUCUUCAUUUGCCUGUUAAUGCCUCGCUCUUCAUAGCUCUGCUGCUGCCAUGUUUAUACCUGGCCCCACCUUGACGAAAUGAUUGACAGAGUGGGGCGGGGACAUGAUUGGCUCAGAAUGCAUUUUUAAAUCCAUACUGAAUUUUCAUUGCGGGACAUUUAAAGAAAAUGCAAUCCCAGGUGAAAAAAAGCACACUUCUAUAAUAUACCUAAAGUGCUCUAUUUUCUAUUAUUUCUAUUACUUCUCUAUUUAUCCCUUUUUAUAUAACAUGAAUAAUACGUUGAGACGAUUGCCGUGUUAACUCACUUUGUUUACUGGGAACUCAAGACUUCUUUUGUUACUCAAACACAACAAACAGCGGCUCGAACUAGGAUGCCCUCUAGUGCAUAGAAACAUUAAGUGCAUAUAUCACACUUAAUAUACUAAAAAUUCUUUUUUAGUACUACUUAAGAUAAUCUUAAGAACAUCUAAGUGUACUCAACUGUGCUAUUUUGAGACAGCAUGAAAUAUGAAUUUAAAUGUGCUUUUAAUAUACUAUCUCUGUAU